CUGCUGCCUCCCGUAGGAGUCUGGGCCGUGUCUCAGUCCCAAUGUGGCCGUCCACCCUCUCAGGCCGGCUACUGAUCGCUGCCUUGGUAGGCCGUUACCCUGCCAACUAGCUAAUCAGACGCGGAUCCAUCUUACACCACCGGAGUUUUUCACACUCCCCCAUGCGGGGCUGUGCGCUUAUGCGGUAUUAGCACCUAUUUCUAAGUGUUAUCCCCCAGUGUAAGGCAGGUUAUCCACGCGUUACUCACCCGUCCG
rnacentral:rRNA from 1 species